GACGAACGCUGGCGGCGUGCUUAACACAUGCAAGUCGAACGGAAAGGCCCUGCUUUUGUGGGGUGCUCGAGUGGCGAACGGGUGAGUAACACGUGAGUAACCUGUCCUUGACUUUGGGAUAACUUCAGGAAACUGGGGCUAAUACCGGAUAGGAGCUCCUGCUGCAUGGUGGGGGUUGGAAAGUUUCGGCGGUUGGGGAUGGACUCGCGGCUUAUCAGCUUGUUGGUGGGGUAGUGGCUUACCAAGGCUUUGACGGGUAGCCGGCCUGAGAGGGCGACCGGCCACAUUGGGACUGAGAUACGGCCCAGACUCCUACGGGAGGCAGCAGUGGGGAAUAUUGCACAAUGGGCGGAAGCCUGAUGCAGCAACGCCGCGUGCGGGAUGACGGCCUUCGGGUUGUAAACCGCUUUCGCCUGUGACGAAGCGUGAGUGACGGUAAUGGGUAAAGAAGCACCGGCUAACUACGUG
rnacentral:rRNA from 1 species